CCGGGAAGACAGGUCAUCGCUCCGGUAACUCGGAGAGGAAAGUCUGGACUUCACAGGAAAAGAUGCCAGUUAACGGCUGGGCGCCGCAAGGCGACGGAAAGUGCAACAGCAACUAUGCCGCUUUUUUGCAAGAAAAAGACAGGCUGAAAAGUUCAGCUUCAUGAGCUGAUCGCACCUCGGGCAACUGAGGGCGUUGUAAACCCCAUCUGAAGCAAGGCCGAAUCGGGUUUGCGUGUUUCCGCGUGAAAAACCCUAACCUGGCUGCAUGAGGAAUCUGGCGACAGGUUCCCUAGAGGAAUGAUGAUCCUCGACAGAAUCCGGCUUAACGACUUCCCGGUUCU
rnacentral:RNase_P_RNA from 2 species